CCAGUAACGGCGAGUGAAGCGGCAACAGCUCAAAUUUGAAAUCUGGUCCCUAGGGCCCGAGUUGUAAUUUGUAGAGGAUGCUUUUGGUGAGGUGCCGCCCGAGUUCCCUGGAACGGGACGCCACAGAGGGUGAGAGCCCCGUCUGGCUGGCCGCCGAGCCUCUGUAAAGCUCCUUCGACGAGUCGAGUAGUUUGGGAAUGCUGCUCAAAAUGGGAGGUAUAUGUCUUCUAAAGCUAAAUAUUGGCCAGAGACCGAUAGCGCACAAGUAGAGUGAUCGAAAGAUGAAAAGCACCUUGAAAAGAGGGUUAAAUAGUACGUGAAAUUGUUGAAAGGGAAGCGCUUGUGACCAGACUUGGGCGCGGCGGAUCAUCCGGGGUUCUCUCCGGUGCACUUCGCCGCGUCUAGGCCAGCAUCAGUUCGUCGCGGGGGAAAAAGGCUUCGGGAACGUGGCUCCUCCGGGAGUGUUAUAGCCCGUUGCAUAAUACCCUGCGGUGGACUGAGGACCGCGCAUCUGCAAGGAUGCUGGCGUAAUGGUCACCAGCGAC
rnacentral:rRNA from 1 species